rnacentral:rRNA from 1 species
AACGCUGGCGGUAGGCUUAACACAUGCAAGUCGUGCGAGAAAGUAUCUUCGGAUAUGAGUAGAGCGGCGGACGGGUGAGUAACGCGUAGGAAUCUACCUAGUAGAAGGGGAUAGCCCGGGGAAACUCGGAUUAAUACCGUAUACCUCCUUCGGGAGAAAGAAGGCCUCUCUUUGAAGCUUUCGCUAUUAGAUGAGCCUGCGUAAGAUUAGCUUGUUGGUGAGGUAAAGGCUCACCAAGGCGACGAUCUUUAGCGGGUCUGAGAGGACGAUCCGCCACAUUGGGACUGAGACACGGCCCAGACUCCUACGGGAGGCAGCAGUGGGGAAUAUUGGACAAUGGGCGCAAGCCUGAUCCAGCCAUACCGCGUGUGUGAAGAAGGCCCUAGGGUUGUAAAGCACUUUAAGUUGGAAGAAAAGUUAUUGGUUAAUAUCCAAUAACCGUGACAUUACCAUCAGAAUAAGGACCGG